AACGAACGCUGGCGGCAUGCCUAAUACAUGCAAGUCGAACGAGAUCUUCGGAUCUAGUGGCGCACGGGUGCGUAACGCGUGGGAAUCUGCCCUUGGGUUCGGAAUAACGUCUGGAAACGGAAGCUAAUACCGGAUGAUGACGUAAGUCCAAAGAUUUAUCGCCCAAGGAUGAGCCCGCGUAGGAUUAGCUAGUUGGUGGGGUAAAGGCCCACCAAGGCGACGAUCCUUAGCUGGUCUGAGAGGAUGAUCAGCCACACUGGGACUGAGACACGGCCCAGACUCCUACGGGAGGCCGCAGUAGGGCAUAUUGGACAAUGGGGGAAACCCUGAUCCAGCAAUGCCGCGUGAGUGAUGAAGGCCUUAGGGUUGUAAAGCUCUUUUACCCGGGAUGAUAAUGACCGUACCGGGAGAAUAAGCUCCGGCUAACUCCGUG
rnacentral:rRNA from 1 species